GAAAUUUACUGGCAAUUGAGAGACUCCGCCUCAAUUCGUCGUCAACUUAUCCGAAAUUUGAUUUCCUCAGAAAACCAACGAGAUAAAUGCACAUGAUUUGUGUUAUUAUGGACCCCAGAGCAGUUCUAGGCAAUGAGGCAGCCCGAUUGGUUGUAGUUAGGCAUUGACCUUGUGUGGUUAAGGUUAGGAUAGCCGAUUGGUCAGGGGAUGGAACCUGUAGUAAUG